AUUGAACGCUGGCGGCAGGCCUAACACAUGCAAGUCGAACGAGUGGCGGACGGGUGAGUAAUGUAUGGGAAACUGCCUGAUGGAGGGGGAUAAGUAGUGGAAAAGGUAGCUAAUACCGCAUAACAUCAGAUGUGGCCAGAGGGCAUGAGCUUGUUGGUGGGGUAACGGCUCACCAAGGCGACGAGCCCUAGCUGGUCUGAGAGGAUGACCGGCCACACUGGAACUGAGACACGGUCCAGACUCCUACGGGAGGCAGCAGUAGGGAAUAUUGCACAAUGGGCGAAAGCCUGAUCCAGCCAUGCCGCGUGUAUGAAGAAGGCCUUCGGGUUGUAAAGUACUUUCGGCAGGGAGGCGUUACCCACAGAGGAAGCAACGGCUAACUCCGUGCCAGCCGCCGCGGUAAUAC
rnacentral:rRNA from 1 species